UACGGAGGAUCCGAGCGUUAUCCGGAUUUAUUGGGUUUAAAGGGAGCGUAGGCGGCGAGUUAAGUCAGCGGUCAAAUGUCGGGGCUCAACCCCGUACUGCCGUUGAAACUGCAUCCCUUGAGUGCGCGAGAAGUAUGCGGAAUGCGUGGUGUAGCGGUGAAAUGCAUAGAUAUCACGCAGAACUCCGAUUGCGAAGGCAGCAUACCGGCGCCCAACUGACGCUGAGGCACGAAAGCGUGGGGAGCAAAUAGG
rnacentral:rRNA from 1 species